CCGACCCGUCUUGAAACACGGACCAAGGAGUCUGACAUGCGUGCGAGUCGACGGGUUUUGAAACCUGGGAUGCGCAAGGAAGCUGACGAGCGGGAGGCCCUCACGGGCCGCACCGCUGGCCGACCCUGAUCUUCUGUGAGAGGUUCGAGUUGGAGCACGCCUGUCGGGACCCGAAAGAUGGUGAACUAUGCCUGAGCGGGGCGAAGCCAGAGGAAACUCUGGUGGAGGCUCGAAGCGAUACUGACGUGCAAAUCGUUCGUCUGACUUGGGUACAGGGGCGAAAGACUAAUCGA
rnacentral:ncRNA from 1 species